rnacentral:rRNA from 1 species
AUGGUGAUGUUGGUGCUAGCCAGUAUACUGACAGAGUUGUCGCAUUGCUCCAGACUGUUCGGUGAAUAUGAAAAGUCGCCAUCUUCUUGUUCAGCUGCAGUUGGGGGUGGUGUUACUGAAUACCACACCAAGGAUGAUCUGUUUGAUGGUUAUACUCUGCCAGAACAAAAAUCGGAACUGGGUUGGUAUUUGGAAUCACCAGUUAUGCAUCUAAACACUGAUCUGGAUAUCUUGGAAUUUUGGAGCGGCAUGUCUAAGUGUUACCCCAACCUUGCAAACUUAGCUCGUGAUAUCCUCGCCAUUCCUAUCUCCACCGUUCCUUCUAAGUCUGUAUUUACAUUGGGCGAGAAAGUUGUGAACCCUCGUCGGAGUACGCUCAAGCCCGAUCUACUCGAGAUGCUGAUCUCUCUCCACGACUGGACAUGUCCACAUGACAAAAAGGAUAUUACUGUCUCUGCUAUAAAAGAGGAUAUCGAUGAUGAGGAAGACGAGGAGGAUGGUGCAGACGAAUCUGAUGAAGAAGAAGAGAGCACGGAAGAAUCUGAUGACAAUGAUGCUUAUUGCUGUGGGUGA